GGCCUGGUAGCACAACGGCUAGUGCGUCUGCAUGCUGUGGAAUUUACUCGCCUUAUGUUUCUGCAGAGGAUCUCCGUUCGACUCGGGGUCAGGUCU